rnacentral:rRNA from 1 species
GAUGAACGCUGGCGGCGUGCCUAAUACAUGCAAGUCGAGCGAACGGACGAGAAGCUUGCUUUUCUGAUGUUAGCGGCGGACGGGUGAGUAACACGUGGAUAACCUACCUAUAAGACUGGGAUAACUUCGGGAAACCGGAGCUAAUACCGGAUAAUAUUUUGAACCGCAUGGUUCAAAAGUGAAAGACGGUCUUGCUGUCACUUAUAGAUGGAUCCGCGCUGCAUUAGCUAGUUGGUAAGGUAACGGCUUACCAAGGCUACGAUGCAUAGCCGACCUGAGAGGGUGAUCGGCCACACUGGAACUGAGACACGGUCCAGACUCCUACGGGAGGCAGCAGUAGGGAAUCUUCCGCAAUGGGCGAAAGCCUGACGGAGCAACGCCGCGUGAGUGAUGAAGGUCUUCGGAUCGUAAAACUCUGUUAUUAGGGAAGAACAUAUGUGUAAGUAACUGUGCACAUCUUGACGGUACCUAAUCAGAAAGCCACGGCUAACUACGUG